UCUCAAGGUUGACCUCGGUUCAGGUAGGAAUACCCGCU
rnacentral:rRNA from 1 species